rnacentral:rRNA from 1 species
GACGAACGCUGGCGGCGUGCCUAAUACAUGCAAGUUGAGCGCUGAAGGUUGGUACUUGUACCAACUGGAUGAGCAGCGAACGGGUGAGUAACGCGUGGGGAAUCUGCCUUUGAGCGGGGGACAACAUUGGGAAACGAAUGCUAAUACCGCAUAAAAACUUUAAACACAAGUUUUAAGUUUGAAAGAUGCAAUUGCAUCACUCAAAGAUGAUCCCGCGUUGUAUUAGCUAGUUGGUGAGGUAAAGGCUCACCAAGGCGAUGAUACAUAGCCGACCUGAUAGGGUGAUCGGCCACAUUGGGACUGUGACACGGCCCAAACUCCUACGGGAGGCAGCAGUAGGGAAUCUUCGGCCAUGGACGAAAGUCUGACCGAGCAACGCCGCGUGAGUGAAGAAGGUUGUCGGAUCGUAAAACUCUGUUGGUAGAGAAGAACGUUGGUGAGAGUGGAAAGCUCAUCAAGUGACGGUAACUACCCAGAAAGGGACGGCUAACUACGUG